CUUAGAGUUUGAUCCUGGCUCAAGAGGACCUCUAGCGACAGGCUUAACACAUGCAAGUCGAGGGGCAGCAUGAUUUGUAGCAAUACAGAUUGAUGGCGACCGGCGCACGGGUGAGUAACGCGUAUGCAACUUACCUAUCAGAGGGGGAUAGCCCGGCGAAAGUCGGAUUAAUACCCCAUAAAACAGGGGUCCCGCAUGGGAAUAUUUGUUAAAGAUUCAUCGCUGAUAGAUAGGCAUGCGUUCCAUUAGGCAGUUGGCGGGGGUAACGGCCCACCAAACCGACGAUGGAUAGGGGUUCUGAGAGGAAGGUCCCCCACAUUGGUACUGAGACACGGACCAAACUCCUACGGGAGGCAGCAGUGAGGAAUAUUGGUCAAUGGCCGAGAGGCUGAACCAGCCAAGUCGCGUGAAGGAAGAAGGAUCUAUGGUUUGUAAACUUCUUUUAUAGGGGAAUAAAGUGGAGGACGUGUCCUUUUUUGUAUGUACCCUAUGAAUAAGCAUCGGCUAACUCCGUGCCAGCAGCCGCGGUAAUACGGAGGAUGCGAGCGUUAUCCGGAUUUAUUGGGUUUAAAGGGUGCGUAGGUGGUGAUUUAAGUCAGCGGUGAAAGUUUGUGGCUCAACCAUAAAAUUGCCGUUGAAACUGGGUUACUUGAGUGUGUUUGAGGUAGGCGGAAUGCGUGGUGUAGCGGUGAAAUGCAUAGAUAUCACGCAGAACUCCGAUUGCGAAGGCAGCUUACUAAACCAUAACUGACACUGAAGCACGAAAGCGUGGGGAUCAAACAGGAUUAGAUACCCUGGUAGUCCACGCAGUAAAC
rnacentral:rRNA from 1 species